CGACCUCAGAGCAGGCGAGACUACCCGCUGAAUUUAAGCAUAUUACUAAGCGGAGGAAAAGAAACUAACAAGGAUUCCCCCAGUAGCGGCGAGCGAACAGGGAAGAGUCCAGCACCGAACCCCGCAGGCUGCCGCCUGUCGUGGCAUGUGGUGUUUGGGAGGGUCCACUACCCCGACGCCUCGCGCCGAGCCCAAGUCCAACUUGAAUGAGGCCACGGCCCGUAGAGGGUGCCAGGCCCGUAGCGGCCGGUGCGAGCGUCGGCGGGACCUCUCCUUCGAGUCGGGUUGCUUGAGAGUGCAGCUCCAAGUGGGUGGUAAACUCCAUCUGAGACUAAAUAUGACCACGAGACCGAUAGCGAACAAGUACCGUGAGGGAAAGUUGAAAAGAACUUUGAAGAGAGAGUUCAAAAGUACGUGAAACCGUUCUGGGGUAAACGUGAGAAGUCCGAAAGGUCGAACGGGUGAGAUUCACGCCCAUCCGGCCACUGGCCUCCGCCCUCGGCAGAUGGGGCCGGCCGCCCGCGCGGAGCAAUCCGCGGCGGGGUCGUGUCCGGUUGCCUUUCCACUCGCCGCGGGGUGGGGCCGUUCCGGUGUGCGGUGGGCCGCACUUCUCCCCUAGUAGGACGUCGCGACCCGCUGGGUGCCGGCCUACGGCCCGGGUGCGCAGCCUGUCCUUCCGCGGGCCUCGGUUCGCGUCUGUUGGGCAGAGCCCCGGUGUCCUGGCUGGCUGCCCGGCGGUAUAUCUGGAGGAGUCGAUUCGCCCCUUUGGGCGCUCGGGCUCCCGGCAAGCGCGCGCGGUUCUUCCCGGAUGACGGACCUACCUGGCCCGGCCCCGGACCCGCGCCGCUGUUGGCUCGGGAUGCUCUCGGGCGGAAUAAUCGCUCCCGUCAGCGGCGCUUCAGCUUUGGACAAUUUCACGACCCGUCUUGAAACACGGACCAAGGAGUCUAACAUGUGCGCGAGUCAUUGGGCUGUACGAAACCUAAAGGCGUAAUGAAAGUGAAGGUCUCGCCUUGCGCGGGCCGAGGGAGGAUGGGGCUUCCCCGCCCUUCACGGGGCGGCGGCCUCCGCACUCCCGGGGCGUCUCGUCCUCAUUGCGAGGUGAGGCGCACCUAGAGCGUACACGUUGGGACCCGAAAGAUGGUGAACUAUGCCUGGCCAGGACGAAGUCAGGGGAAACCCUGAUGGAGGUCCGUAGCGAUUCUGACGUGCAAAUCGAUCGUCGGAGCUGGGUAUAGGGGCGAAAGACUAAUCGAACCAUCUAGUAGCUGGUUCCCUCCGAAGUUUCCCUCAGGAUAGCUGGUGCUCGUACGAGUCUCAUCCGGUAAAGCGAAUGAUUAGAGGCCUUGGGGCCGAAACGACCUCAACCUAUUCUCAAACUUUAAAUGGGUGAGAUCUCCGGCUUGCUUGAUAUGCUGAAGCCGCGAGCAAACGACUCGGAUCGGAGUGCCAAGUGGGCCACUUUUGGUAAGCAGAACUGGCGCUGUGGGAUGAACCAAACGCCGAGUUAAGGCGCCCGAAUCGACGCUCAUGGGAAACCAUGAAAGGCGUUGGUUGCUUAAGACAGCAGGACGGUGGCCAUGGAAGUCGGAAUCCGCUAAGGAGUGUGUAACAACUCACCUGCCGAAGCAACUAGCCCUGAAAAUGGAUGGCGCUGAAGCGUCGUGCCUAUACUCGGCCGUCAGUCUGGCAGUCAUGGCCGGUCCUUGCGGCCGGCCGCGAAGCCCUGACGAGUAGGAGGGUCGCGGCGGUGGGCGCAGAAGGGUCUGGGCGUGAGCCUGCCUGGAGCCGCCGUCGGUGCAGAUCUUGGUGGUAGUAGCAAAUACUCCAGCGAGGCCCUGGAGGGCUGACGCGGAGAAGGGUUUCGUGUGAACAGCCGUUGCACACGAGUCAGUCGAUCCUAAGCCCUAGGAGAAAUCCGAUGUUGAUGGGGGCCGUCAUAGCAUGAUGCGCUUUGUGCUGGCCCCCGUUGGGCGAAAGGGAAUCCGGUUCCUAUUCCGGAACCCGGCAGCGGAACCGAUACAAGUCGGGCCCCUCUUUUAGAGAUGCUCGUCGGGGUAACCCAAAAGGACCCGGAGACGCCGUCGGGAGAUCGGGGAAGAGUUUUCUUUUCUGCAUGAGCGUUCGAGUUCCCUGGAAUCCUCUAGCAGGGAGAUAGGGUUUGGAACGCGAAGAGCACCGCAGUUGCGGCGGUGUCCCGAUCUUCCCCUCGGACCUUGAAAAUCCGGGAGAGGGCCACGUGGAGGUGUCGCGCCGGUUCGUACCCAUAUCCGCAGCAGGUCUCCAAGGUGAAGAGCCUCUAGUCGAUAGAAUAAUGUAGGUAAGGGAAGUCGGCAAAUUGGAUCCGUAACUUCGGGAUAAGGAUUGGCUCUGAGGAUCGGGGCGUGUCGGGCUUGGUCGGGAAGUGGGUCAGCGCUAACGUGCCGGGCCUGGGCGAGGUGAGUGCCGUAGGGGUGCCGGUAAGUGCGGGCGUUUAGCGCGGGCGUGGUCUGCUCUCGCCGUUGGUCGGCCUCGUGCUGGCCGGCGGUGCAGGAUGCGCGCGCCUGCGCGGCGUUCGCGCCCCGGUGCUUCAACCUGCGUGCAGGAUCCGAGCUCGGUCCCGUGCCUUGGCCUCCCACGGAUCUUCCUUGCUGCGAGGCCGCGUCCGCCUUAGCGUGCUCCUCCGGGGGCGCGCGGGUGCGCGGAUUCUCUUCGGCCGCCAUUCAACGAUCAACUCAGAACUGGCACGGACUGGGGGAAUCCGACUGUCUAAUUAAAACAAAGCAUUGCGAUGGCCCUAGCGGGUGUUGACGCAAUGUGAUUUCUGCCCAGUGCUCUGAAUGUCAACGUGAAGAAAUUCAAGCAAGCGCGGGUAAACGGCGGGAGUAACUAUGACUCUCUGGCGGGGCUACCCGCUUCCGCCCAGCGUUUCUCUGCCCUGGAUCGUGUCAUAGGUCUGGGGCGGGGCACGCCGCCCGAUGUCAUCCUGGGCAUGCUCCCGGAUGCCCUUGCGUCGGUCGGGUCCAGAGGGGAGAGAUCGAUCACCAGGACACAGCGGCCGCGCCAACCAUCGAAGCGGCCGCCUGCCGCGCCGCCGACGCAGAAGCGCAAGCGGCGCCGCUGGGAGUACGCGAGAACGCAGGAUGCCUUCCGACGGUCGCGUGCACGUUGCGUGCGCGGCCUCUUGGAUGGCACCCUGCUCCAGCCGCCACCUGCCAUCCCUGGUCUGCUGGACUUCUGGGCGGACCUCUUCACUAAGAAGCCCAUCUCCACCGCGGGCUUCAUUCGUGACCGCCUCCUCCCGCACUCAGAGCCUGUCGCUCUCGAGUGCAUAUGGGGGCCGGUCACACAUGAGGAGGUCGCCGCCGCGUUGCCGCCCAGGGGAUCAGCAGCCGGGCCGGACGGCCUUACCCCAGCGGAGUUGCGGCGCCUGCCGCACGAAGUCCUGGUGAAAGUGAUGAAUCUCUUCCUUCUGGCCCGCGCCCUUCCGGAACGCCUGCUUCGCGCGCGGACGUCCCUUCUCCCGAAAACGGCUGCACCAACAUCCCCCGCUGACUUUCGCCCCAUUACGGUCUGCUCGGUGUUGGCGCGGACCUUUCACAAGGUUCUCGCGUCACGCCUGAUGCGCGCAUGUGCUGUGGACGAACGUCAGCGGGCAUUCAUCCCUCGGGAUGGGAUGUUGGAAAAUACCUUCAUCUUGGACACUGCUCUCACCGACGCAGUUCGCUCCUGCCGCUCUGUCUUUGUGGCAUCGAUCGACGUAUCUAAGGCAUUCGAUUCGGUAGAUCAUGCUGCCCUUCGCCCCGUGCUGAAGGCGCAUGGCCUGCCGGAUUGCUUUGUCGAGUAUGUCGAGCGGUGCUACGAGGGCAGCACGACAGUGAUAGCGGACGGCGCCGGCGUGGGCGUGUCUGUGCAGCCAGCACGGGGCGUUCGCCAGGGCGAUCCCCUCUCCCCCCUCCUGUUCAACUUUGCGGUGGACUACGUUUUAGGCCAACUGCCCUCCCACAUCGGAGCUCGGAUCCUCGGUCGCAGAGUCAACGCUGCGGCCUUUGCAGAUGACGUCUUGCUGUUUGCAGCGACCCCGAGGGGCUUGCAGUCCCUCAUCGACGCAGCUACCGCAGCCCUCGCCCACCUGGGGCUGCAGAUCAACGCCCGGAAGUGUUUCACCCUCGCCUUAGUCGCGUCAGGGCGCGAGAAGAAGGUGAAGGUGGACAGCAAUGUCACCUUCACAGCAGGCAAUACCACCAUGCCUGCCCUGCGUGUGGGUGAAACCUUCCGGUACCUGGGGCUGCAAUUUUCCACGGCGGGUCGCUGUGUCUUCAAUCCACGUAGCCACCUGGUGGAGCAGCUUGACGUCAUCUCCCGAGCUCCGCUGAAGCCGCAACAGCGCCUCCACGCUCUCACCAAUGUACUUCUCCCUGGCCUGUACCACGGGCUGGCCCUCAGCCGCACCCGGGUGGGUGCAUUGAAGUCGGCCGACGUUACCAUCCGGGCCGCCGUCAGGAGAUGGUUCCGCCUUCCGGCGGACACCCCCCUGGGAUACUUCCACGCUCCUGUUGCCCAGGGGGGCCUCGGCAUUCCAUCUUGCCGAUGGAUGGGUCCGACCCUCCGUCGGUCCCGUCUCCUGGCGCUGAAGAAGAUAGGGCCAGCCUGCGACGGUGCAGGCAUGGAUGAGGUGCAGCGUGAGAUCGAGGUGCUGGAGCGCCACCUAAUGUGGGAGGGCCACCUCCUCAAAUCGUCAACGCAGGUUGGGGAAAUGUGGGCGGCGCGCCUACACAUCGCCAUUGACGGUGCGGCACUGUCAUCUUCUGCCGCCGUCAGUGGCCAACAUCAGUGGGUCGCCGACACCAGUCGCCUGCUAUCUGGGCGUGAGUACAUCGACGCCCUCCGCGCCCGCAUCAACGCCUUCCCUACGAAGGCACGGCGCAGUCGCGGGCGGGAGGCGGACACCAGAUGCCGCGCGGGGUGCCAGGCCGUGGAGACCGCCAACCACGUACUUCAGGCUUGCUUUAGGACGCACG